rnacentral:misc_RNA from 1 species
GGAAAAGGAAGGAGGAUGGGUUGAAAUCAGAGAAAAAUGUAAGGAGAGGAAUAUACUAUCAUUAGAAAAAUAAAAAAGGAGAAAAGAAAAAAAGAAAAGAAAGGUUACUAUUCCCAUGAACAGUGUUUGAGGGUACUAUUUUAGUGUAUAUAUAAUGUGUUUCUAAUUCUAAACAAAAUUAACCAUUAAUCAACCUAAUUCUAAACUGUCAGUUUUCAAUGUAAACUAGAUACAACUGAAUCUAGUUUGAGGCUUUCAGUGCAUGCAAGGGAGAAGUAAUUAAUGAGUUUUUCAAAUUCUCCAAGGACCAAGAAUAUUUAAUGUCAUCUGAGAAUUCUU